rnacentral:rRNA from 1 species
GACGAACGCUGGCGGCGUGCCUAAUACAUGCGAGUCGAACGCUGAAGGAGGAGCUUGCUUCUCUGGAUGAGUUGCGAACGGGUGAGUAACGCGUAGGUAACCUGCCUGGUAGCGGGGGAUAACUAUUGGAAACGAUAGCUAAUACCGCAUAAGAGUAGAUGUUGCAUGACAUUUGCUUAAAAGGUGCAAUUGCAUCACUACCAGAUGGACCUGCGUUGUAUUAGCUAGUUGGUGGGGUAACGGCUCACCAAGGCGACGAUACAUAGCCGACCUGAGAGGGUGAUCGGCCACACUGGGACUGAGACACGGCCCAGACUCCUACGGGAGGCAGCAGUAGGGAAUCUUCGGCAAUGGACGGAAGUCUGACCGAGCAACGCCGCGUGAGUGAAGAAGGUUUUCGGAUCGUAAAGCUCUGUUGUAAGAGAAGAACGAGUGUGAGAGUGGAAAGUUCACACUGUGACGGUAGCUUACCAGAAAGGGACGGCUAACUACGUG